UAUGAAAGUAUGGUUGCGGGCACUUGAGCAUCAACCCUUAGUUCUGGCAGAGCAGGAAUCCAGGCAUGCCUUGUCCACAUUGUACUUUAUCUCUGAGACGGUUCUCUAUAGGAAGGGGGAAGAUUGUCAGUGAAACAAAUAGAGAUACUUGACCAUGGAGACGUUGAUUCAUUGUUCUAUGAAAGCGAGACAACACUAGGCUGGAUGAAAGCACCGCUCCUUGCCUGAAGAUAUGCGAGUUCAUUUCCAGUUAUGUUCAGGCUAUAGCUUGAGUCUAUGUUUGUACGGAAACAUGAAAUGUGAUGUUUGCUGAGAGAAAAAAAUCUGUUAGA